UUCCCGGCCAGGAGGGAUACAUCCAAAAACUCCCUGUUUUUAACGGGUGGUUGUCCGAGCUACCAAGCAACGAAUCAAAAACUUUCAACAACGGAUCUCUUGGUUCUGGCAUCGAUGAAGAACGCAGCGAAAUGCGAUAAGUAGUGUGAAUUGCAGAAUUCAGUGAAUCAUCGAAUCUUUGAACGCACAUUGCGCCCCUUGGUAUCCCGAGGGGCAUGCCUGUUCGAGCGUCAUUUCACCACUCAAGCCUGGCUUGGUGUUGGGCGACGUCCCCUUUGGGGACGCGCUUCGAAACGUUCGGCGGCGUGGCACCGGCUUUAAGCGUAGCAGAAUCUUUCGCUGUGAAAGUCGGGGCCCCGUCUGCCGGAAGACCUACUCGCAAGGUUGAC
rnacentral:rRNA from 1 species